rnacentral:rRNA from 1 species
CGGGUGAGUAACACGUAUGCAACCUGCCUGCCACAGCCGGAUAAUCGGGAGAAAUUCCGUCUAAUACGGCAUAAUGCAUCGACGGGACAUCCUGUUGGUGCCAAAGGUUAAUUCCGGUGGCGGAUGGGCAUGCGUCGCAUUAGUUAGUUGGCGGUGUAACGGACCACCAGGACGACGAUGCGUAGGGGUUCUGAGAGGAAGGUCCCCCACACUGGUACUGAGACACGGACCAGACUCCUACGGGAGGCAGCAG